GAUGUACGCUGGCGGCGUGCCUGAUACAUGCAAGUAGCACGCUGAAGCUUGGUGCUUGCACCGAGCGGAUGAGUUGCGAACGGGUGAGUACGCGUAGGUAACCUGCCUGGUAGCGGGGGAUAACUAUUGGAAACGAUAGCUAAUACCGCAUAACAGUAGAUAUUGCAUGAUAUCUGCUUGAAAGGGGCAAUUGCUCCACUACCAGAUGGACCUGCGUUGUAUUAGCUAGUUGGUGAGGUAACGGCUCACCAAGGCGACGAUACAUAGCCGACCUGAGAGGGUGAUCGGCCACACUGGGACUGAGACACGGCCCAGACUCCUACGGGAGGCAGCAGUAGGGAAUCUUCGGCAAUGGACGGAAGUCUGACCGAGCAACGCCGCGUGAGUGAAGAAGGUUUUCGGAUCGUAAAGCUCUGUUGUAAGAGAAGACACGAGUGUGAGAGUGGAAAGUUCACACUGUGACGGUAACUUACCA
rnacentral:rRNA from 1 species